UUGGACAAUGGGCGAAAGCCUGAUCCAGCCAUGCCGCGUGAGUGAAGAAGGCCUUCGGGUUGUAAAGCUCUUUUAGUCGGAAAGAAAGAGUUGCAAUGAAUAAUUGUGAUUUAUGACGGUGCCGACAGAAAAAGCACCGGCUAACUACGUGCCAGCAGCCGCGGUAAUACGUAGGGUGCGAGCGUUAAUCGGAAUUACUGGGCGUAAAGGGUGCGCAGGCGGUCUUGCAAGUCAGAUGUGAAAGCCCCGGGCUUAACAUGGGAAUUGCGUUUGAAACUACAAGGCUAGAGUGCAGCAGAGGGGAGUGGAAUUCCAUGUGUAGCAGUGAAAUGCGUAGAGUUGUGGAAGAACACCGAUGGCGAAGGCAGCUCCCUGGGUUGACACUGACGCUCAUGCAC
rnacentral:rRNA from 1 species